rnacentral:lncRNA from 1 species
GAUGGAUAGUGAACCCGGCAAAUUGUAACAAACAGAAACCCCUGUGCAUGCAUAACCAUGAUAACAUUUGACAUGUUGUACGCCGGUAUAAAGUCAAAAGACUGUAAACUAUAGCACUAGCAUCUGCUUUUAUCCAUUUAAAACAUGUGUAAGAUAAUAUUUACCUUUCGUUGCGCUUUCCAAGUACAAAAUAGUAGGUACAUAAAUCCGUCAAUGUUCCGGUUGGUUUGACUAUGUUCAUUUCAAUUUUUUGUUCGCCGGUUUCUUCCAGUUAAUCGACAAUUAAUAAUACAUUUAUACUAAAUUUUUGACCUCUCAGUUUGAAUAAAUACAGUGUCUUGUAUAAUCUUUCUGGCUGUCUCUGUCUAAUCUUUUUAAAAUACAGUAAAAAAAAUCAAAUCAGCAGACGCACGAGCGUCCAUGGAUUUUGCGUCAUAGUAUAAAAAAUGGCAACGGUGAAAAGUUUCCGGGUUUUCGUGUUCAAUGUGCAAAGCCGUUUACGUAGUUUUCUAGUUUGGUUUACGGAUGGAUAUAUGAGCAUUGAUUAUGAGUCUGGAAUCAAUAAUGGGGAUAUACAUUGUAUAGAGAAU